AACGAACGCUGGCGGCGUGCCUAACACAUGCAAGUCGAACGUGAUUGAAGAGCUUGCUCUUCAUGAAAGUGGCGCACGGGUGAGUAACGCGUAGAUAAUCUACCUGGUGAUUUGGGAUAACAGUUCGAAAGGACUGCUAAUACCGAAUAAGCCCACGGAGUCUUUGGAUUCUGCGGGAAAAGGGGGGGACCUUAUGGCCUUCCGUCAUCAGAUGAGUCUGCCUACCAUUAGCUAGUUGGUAGGGUAAAGGCCUACCAAGGCGACGAUGGUUAGCUGGUCUGAGAGGAUGGUCAGCCACACUGGAACUGAGACACGGUCCAGACUCCUACGGGAGGCAGCAGUGGGGAAUUUUGCGCAAUGGGGGAAACCCUGACGCAGCAACGCCGCGUGAGUGAUGAAGGCCCUUGGGUCGUAAAGCUCUGACAGAGGGAAAGAAGUGUACUUUGGCUAAUAUCCAUUGUACUUGACGGUACCCCUAAAGGAAGCACCGGCUAACUCCGUGCCAGCAGCCGCCGUAACAC
rnacentral:rRNA from 1 species